AUCCAGACUCCUACGGGAGGCAGCAGUGAGGAAUAUUGGUCAAUGGACGAGAGUCUGAACCAGCCAAGUCGCGUGAGGGAAGACUGCCCUAUGGGUUGUAAACCUCUUUUGUCAGGGAGCAAUUGGCGCUACGUGUAGCGUUAUCGAGAGUACCUGAAGAAAAAGCAUCGGCUAACUCCGUGCCAGCAGCCGCGGUAAUACGGAGGAUGCGAGCGUUAUCCGGAUUUAUUGGGUUUAAAGGGUGCGUAGGCGGAAUGCCAAGUCAGCGGUAAAAUCGCGGGGCUCAACCUCGCUCCGCCGUUGAAACUGGCGUUCUUGAGUGGGCGAGAAGUAUGCGGAAUGCGUGGUGUAGCGGUGAAAUGCAUAGAUAUCACGCAGAACUCCGAUUGCGAAGGCAGCAUACCGGCGCCCAACUGACGCUGAAGCACGAAAGCGUGGGUAUCGAACAGGAUUAGAUACCCUUGUAC
rnacentral:rRNA from 1 species